GAGCAAGAGGGUCUACUAAUGGCUUGUACUUGCAUUGAAGGUUGGCAAAAUUAAGAAACAUUGGCGAUUCUCCGUGCCUAUCAAAUUAAUUUAAUUUUGAAUAUGGCCUCGAACAAGUCGCUACAAU
rfam:Medicago truncatula strain A17 chromosome 2, whole genome shotgun sequence.